CCUACGGGGGGCUGCAGUCGAGAAUCAUUCACAAUGGGGGAAACCCUGAUGGUGCGACGCCGCGUGGGGGAAUGAAGGUCUUCGGAUUGUAAACCCCUGUCAUGUGGGAGCAAAUUAAAAAGAUAGUACCACAAGAGGAAGAGACGGCUAACCCUGUGCCAGCAGCCGCGGUAAUACAGAGGUCUCAAGCGUUGUUCGGAAUCACUGGGCGUAAGGCGUGCGUAGGCUGUUUCGUAAGUCGUGUGUGAAAGGCGCGGGCUCAACCCGCGGACGGCACAUGAUACUGCGAGACUAGAGUAAUGGAGGGGGAACCGGAAUUCUCGGUGUAGCAGUGAAAUGCGUAGAUAUCGAGAGGAACACUCGUGGCGAAGGCGAGUUCCUGGACAUUAACUGACGCUGAGGCACGAAGGCCAGGGGAGCGAAAGGGAUUAGAUACCCUUGUAGUC
rnacentral:rRNA from 1 species